GGUAGGCAAUCUUGGUGCUCCAGCUGUUAAACUACAAUUCCAAUCAUCACAGAGCUAGCGUGCAGUGUGGCUGGACUCCAAUGCCCAUCACACUAUUGUCCAUUGCAACAGGGCAUGAUGGAAGUGCGAGUCCAAGAUCUGCAGGCGGAUCAAAGUUGGGCAGCCAUGAUCCAGAUACCUUGAAAUUCACUUUGAAUUUCACCUGCCUAUCUAGAGAUGUGCAGAACAUCCUCCAGCCUGAAAAAUCUAACUUCUUAUAGAAAUUCAUCUGAUGCCUCUUGACAAUUCUCAGAUGUUACUCCUUGGGAGGAACCCUGAAUUCCUAUUCUGAUUCCAGUUUUUCAAAUGUCAGUACUGAUGUGUGUAUAUAUACAAAGAACUGUGGGAACUGAAAAAGGUAAUCAUUGUAGGAGGGGCUUCUACCCAGAAUAAACACAGAACUGUGGGGACUGAAAAAGGUAUUCAUUGUAGGAGGUGCUGCUAACCAUUGUAGGAGGCGCCUCUGGAAAGAAUAAACUCUUAGUAGAGUAGUCUGGGAGAAACCUCAAUACGGCUGUUGGGUUUCUUAAGCUCCUAAUGUUUUAAGUAUGU